ACAUUUCAAGUUGGACUUGAACGAUUGCCACCAUUUCAGAUAGGCAGCCGAAUGCAAAACAUCCACGUGGAUAGGAUUGUAUUAAAAACGCAUAAAAAAGUCGCCUCUUUUAAUAAGUUUGGUAUAAGCGCGAGCUGUCGUGCUUGAGAGCGUCCUACAGAGAAUCCUCAAAUCAAUGUUUAUAUGUCUAUAUUAUAUCUAUGCACGUUAAAUUUUUAAAGGGCUUGUAAACUUUUCGCACCACCUGGCUGAACAGACGUUCUACCACCAAAGACAUCAGAAUGGUGUUAGUCUCCGCUAUGUGUUCUUCGCUUUCGCCGCUAGGUGUCGCUUAGCAAAAAUUAUAAUAUUUUCUUAAUGUCUGUCGCACUUCAAUUAAUAAAGCUAAUAUAUACUUACUAAUACGAUUAA